rnacentral:rRNA from 1 species
GAUGAACGCUGGCGGCGUGCCUAAUACAUGCAAGUCGAGCGAACGGACGAGAAGCUUGCUUCUCUGAUGUUAGCGGCGGACGGGUGAGUAACACGUGGAUAACCUACCUAUAAGACUGGGAUAACUUCGGGAAACCGUAGCUAAUACCGGAUAAUAUUUUGAACCGCAUGGUUCAAAAGUGAAAGACGGUCUUGCUGUCACUUAUAGAUGGAUCCGCGCUGCAUUAGCUAGUUGGUAAGGUAACGGCUUACCAAGGCAACGAUGAAUAGCCGACCUGAGAGGUGGAUCGGCCACACUGGAACUGAGACACGGUCCAGACUCCUACGGGAGGCAGCAGUAGGGAAUCUUCCGCGAUGGGCGAAAGCCUGACGGAGCAACGCCGCGUGAGUGAUGAAGGUCUUCGGAUCGUAAAACUCUGUUAUUAGGGAAGAACAUAUGUGUAAGUAACUGUGCACAUCUUGACGGUACCUAAUCAGAAAGCCACGGCUAACUACGUG